AUGAAAAGAUUAGUUAAUCAUAGUUUAUGACGUCAUGUUUACUAGAAUAAAUCAAUUUAAACCAACAAACACAUUUUUUAAUGUGUUAACUGGAAAUGAAAUGUUAACAUUAAGUACAUCUGCCUGGUUCACUUCAGUAGUUAAAACUUUAUUUACCUACAAACUACCUCGUGGACAGAGGGGGCGGAGCAACAGGUCCCGCCCUUUAAACCAAACCAACCAAUCACCUGCUUCCGUUCCUGCCCACAUCGCUGUGGAGAAGUUUUCAACAGUCGGUUCCGGUCCAUUACUCAUAACGUACUUUUCAUUGUUCUUCUUUCUCCUGGUAGCAAAGUUGUUGCUAUGAAUGAUGGGAACAUUUUUCUCCACAGUCCAUCAUCUCUGAUCAAAAACAUCCAGAUACUGAAACUAACCAGGAAACCUCAGUAGAAAUAAGUCUGAUCAUCUUCAUCAGAAACCUUCAUCCAUCUGAGUCCGCUGAUCAGUUUGAGGAAGAAAAGAAAACCAGUUGUAGAAGAUCUAAAAUCAGGAUGUUCUCACUAAUAUACUGACCUAGAAGCUGCAUUUAGAAACACAGAGAGGUAACAUGUUUCUAUCAGUGCUGUGAUGACUUCCUGCUGUAGAAACCGAUCUGUUAGUCUGCAGAGGUUCUACUGAGUUCUGGUUGGGUUCUAAAAGCUUCUCACAGAUAAAAACUGACAGAGAAUAAAUAAAUCAGACAUACCCAGAUAAUCUGUGACUUCAUCCAUCUUCUCAGCCCAGAAGUCUUUGAAUGAACCACGAUGACAGGAUCGCGGUUGUUGAUUUUUAAAUCUGAGGUUAGCCCCGCCCUCCUGUAGCUCCACCCUCCUGUAGCUCCUCCCUCCUGUAGCUGCUGUCCUAUCAGCGAGGACUUCUUCAUCCUGUUCAAAUACAGGUUUUAAUCUUCAACUGUUUAGGAUGUGGAGGAACUCUAUGAAAACCUUUAACAGCUUGAUAAUGAUUGGUGUUGUUAACACACUGGAACCUGUUACAAUGGUGUGUUUCACGCAGAUAUGAGGGGGAGAAGAAGAACUUCUAGCAGUGUUAUCAACCAGGCUGGUUUAUUCAGGACAGGAACAGACAUGAAGGCUGAGAGCUUCCACCUCAAUAUCUUCAACCAGCCGUGUCAAGAUUAGUCGUUGAGUGCUGAUGUUUACUUUUAGGUUUGUCUCUGCUUCAACACCACUGAAUCAAAUGAGGUCAGUACCAGGAUUUUAGAGACCUUGACUGCACACCGAGGUGUUACUUCAGCCAUUUGAUUCAGGUGUGCUGGACCUGGGACACAUCUAAAAGUUGAGGGACACCGGCCCUGGAGGACUGAAGUUUGAUACCUCCACAUGAGAGGUUUCUGUCACAUGAUGGUCUCU